rnacentral:rRNA from 1 species
AUUGAACGCUGGCGGCAGGCCUAACACAUGCAAGUCGAGCGGAUGAAGGGAGCUUGCUCCUGGAUUCAGCGGCGGACGGGUGAGUAAUGCCUAGGAAUCUGCCUGGUAGUGGGGGAUAACGUCCGGAAACGGGCGCUAAUACCGCAUACGUCCUGAGGGAGAAAGUGGGGGAUCUUCGGACCUCACGCUAUCAGAUGAGCCUAGGUCGGAUUAGCUAGUUGGUGGGGUAAAGGCCUACCAAGGCGACGAUCCGUAACUGGUCUGAGAGGAUGAUCAGUCACACUGGAACUGAGACACGGACCAGACUCCUACGGGAGGCAGCAGUGGGGAAUAUUGGACAAUGGGCGAAAGCCUGAUCCAGCCAUGCCGCGUGUGUGAAGAAGGUCUUCGGAUUGUAAAGCACUUUAAGUUGGGAGGAAGGGCAGUAAGUUAAUACCUUGCUGUAUUGACGUUACCGACAGAAUAAGCACCGGCUAACUUCGUG